AAGUCGUAACAAGGUUUCCGUAGGUGGUAAGUAAACCGGCUCCGAAUUCAAAUAAAAGGAAAUCGAAAUACUAACUUCGUCUCUAGAACCUGCGGAAGGAUCAUUAAAAGAGAGCCCGGGGUGCCUUUUUUGGCCCUCAGACCUCCCACCCUUUGUGAACGUACCUUGAGUUGCUUUGGCGGGGCGUGGCCAGAAAUGGUCCCGCUGGUCCCCUUCGCCCGGGGCUAGCGUGCCCCCGCCAGAGAAUCAUAAGAAUCUUGCUUUAACAAAACCGUGUCUGAAGAAAUAUACUAUUGAAAUAGCGAAAAAACUUUCAACAACGGAUCUCUUGGUUCUGGCAUCGAUGAAGAACGCAGCGAAAUGCGAUAAGUAAUGUGAAUUGCAGAAUUCAGUGAAUCAUCGAAUCUUUGAACGCACAUUGCGCCCCCUGGUAUUCCGGCGGGCAUGCCUAUUCGAGCGUCAUUUCUAUCCUCAAGCUCCGCUUGGUAUUGGGAGGCAAGCCUCAUCCCCUUGGGGAGAGGCUCCCCCGAAAAUUAGCGGCGGAUCGGCCGGGGUCCCAGCGCAGUGACUUAUUUUUCUCGCUGAUUGGAUCCCGGGCGGCUCCUGCCGGGCUAAAACCAUUAUUUCUUUCAAGAUUGACCUCGGAUUAGGUAGGGAUACCCGCUGAACUUAAGCAUAUCAAUAAGCGGAGGAAAGAAACCAACAGGGAUUGCCUUAGUAACGGCGAGUGAAGCGGCAACAGCUCAAAUUUGAAAUCUGACUCCUUUUGGCGUCCGAAUUGUAAUUUGCAGAGGGCAUCUCGGGGGCGAUACCGGUCUAAGUUCCUUGGAACAGGGCGUCAUAGAGGGUGAGAAUCCCGUACGUAACCGGCCGUCAAUCCCAUGUGAGGUCCCUUCGACGAGUCGAGUUGUUUGGGAAUGCAGCUCAAAAUGGGUGGUAAAUUUCAUCUAAAGCUAAAUAUUGGCCAGAGACCGAUAGCGCACAAGUAGAGUGAUCGAAAGAUGAAAAGCACUUUGGAAAGAGAGUUAAAAAGUAUGUGAAAUUGUUGAAAGGGAAGCGCUCGCAGCCAGACUUGGUCGCAGUCAAUCAACCUUCCCUCGGGGAGGUGCACUUUUCUACGUUCCAGGCCAGCAUCGGUUUCGGCGGUCGGACAAAAGCCCCGGGAAUGUGGCUCCCCUCGGGGAGUGUUAUAGCCCGGGGUGCAAUGCGGCCUGCCGGGACCGAGGACCGCGCUUUUUGCUAGGAUGCUGGCGUAAUGGCUGUCAGCGACC
rnacentral:rRNA from 1 species